CGUGAGGGAUGAAGGCCUUCGGGUUGUAAACCUCUUUCAGUAGGGAAGAAGCGAAAGUGACGGUACCUACAGAAGAAGCACCGGCUAACUAUGUGCCAGCAGCCGCGGUAAUACAUAGGGUGCAAGCGUUGUCCGGAAUUAUUGGGCGUAAAGAGCUCGUAGGUGGUUCGUUACGUCGGAUGUGAAAAUCUGGGGCUCAACCCCAGACCUGCAUCCGAUACGGUCGAGCUAGAGUUUGGUAGGGGAGACUGGAAUUCCUGGUGUAGCGGUGGAAUGCGCAGAUAUCAGGAGGAACACCAAUGGCGAAGGCAGGUCUCUGGGCCAAUACUGACACUGAGGAGCGAAAGCGUGGGGAGCGAACAGGAUUAGAUACCCUGGUAGUCCACGCCGUAAACGGUGGGCGCUAGUUGUGGGAACCUUCCACGGUUUCUGCGACGCAGCUAACGCAUUAAGCGCCCCGCCUGGGGAGUACGAUCGCAAGAUUAAAACUCAAAGGAAUUGACGGGGCCCCGCACAAGCAGCGGAGCAUGCGGCUUAAUUCGACGCAACGCGAAGAACCUUACCAAGGCUUGACAUAUACAGGAAUACGGCAGAGAUGUCGUAGCGGUAAAACGUCUGUAUACAGGUGGUGCAUGGUUGUCGUCAGCUCGUGUCGUGAGAUGUUGGGUUAAGUCCCGCAACGAGCGCAACCCUCGUUCUGUGUUGCCAGCAUUUAGUUGGGGACUCACAGGAGACUGCCGGGGUUAACUCGGAGGAAGGUGGGGAUGACGUCAAAUCAUCAUGCCCCUUAUGUCUUGGGCUGCACGCAUGCUACAAUGGCUGGUACAAAGGGCUGCAAUACUGCAAAGUGGAGCGAAUCCCAAAAAGCCAG
rnacentral:rRNA from 1 species